ACCUUCCCCAGUAGAAGAGGGCCAAUGUUUGGUCAAGGAUAUAUAAGUAGUUGCAUUCCCCUGCUAGAACCUCCAAACAAGCUCUCAGGGUCCAUUGUAGGAAAAUGUUGGGUAGUCAAACUUCCAAGACUCCAGACACAUCCAAAUAAGGUGGCAGUCUGCUUUUUUUU
rnacentral:sRNA from 1 species